AAUAUUGCGCAAUGGGGGGAACCCUGACGCAGCAACGCCGCGUGAGUGAAGAAGGUCUUCGGGUCGUAAAACUCUGUCAUUUGGGAAGAAAAAAAUGACGGUACCCAAUGUGGACGCCGCGGCUAACUACGUGCAAGCAGCCGCGGUAAUACGUAGGGGGCAAGCGUUGUCCGGAAUUACUGGGCGUAAAGGGUGCGUAGGCGGCCUAAUAAGUCAGAUGUGAAAUACCGAGGCUCAACCUCGGAGGUGCAUUUGAAACUGUUGGGCUUGAGUGCAGGAGAGGAAAGUGGAAUUCCUAGUGUAGCGGUGAAAUGCGUAGAUAUUAGGAGGAAUACCAGUGGCGAAGGCGACUUUCUGGACUUAUACUGACGCUGAGGCACGAAAGCGUGGGGAGCAAAC
rnacentral:rRNA from 1 species